rnacentral:rRNA from 1 species
ACAGCAGUCGCCGCGGUAAUACAGAGGGUGCAAGCGUUAAUCGGAAUUACUGGGCGUAAAGCGCGCGUAGGUGGUUUGUUAAGUUGGAUGUGAAAGCCCCGGGCUCAACCUGGGAACUGCAUCCAAAACUGGCAAGCUAGAGUACGGUAGAGGGUGGUGGAAUUUCCUGUGUAGCGGUGAAAUGCGUAGAUAUAGGAAGGAACACCAGUGGCGAAGGCGACCACCUGGACUGAUACUGACACUGAGGUGCGAAAGCGUGGGGAGCAAACAGGAUUAGAUACCCCAGUAGUCCCUGUCUCUUAUAC